UUGAAUUGCAACUGAUUUCGGACCACACGAAAUCCCACCUCCAAUUUGCAUUAUCCCUCCAAUUGAUUUCGGAUUAUUAUCCAAUAUAGAUGUAUUCUAGUUGGAGUAUUAAUUAAUCAAUAAAAAAGGAGCUCACAAUUCACUUCACUCCAGUCGCCUGUGCCCACCGCCGACUCCGACUCCGACUCCGACUCCGACUCCAGCUGCGCUUCAGAAAAUGGCGGCAGAAUCCGUGAUGAAAAUGUCAUCCUCCGCCAUCUGCAACUUAAAUGGCUCUUCGCGGAGGCCUCUGCCGCCUAGGCCUGUAUCUCACUCCGCACGACGUCGUAGGUCCACUUCCUCUGCCGCAGUUCGAGCCCUUUCUUCUUCAUUUCUCGCUAGUGUUGCUAUUUCCACAAAUCUCUCAACUUUGCGCCACAACCAGAAGAGGGGGAGCUUCUCUGUCAUUGCCAUGGCUGCAGGAGAGGAGAAGAGAACGAUUCCAUUAAAGGACUACCGCAAUAUUGGAAUCAUGGCACACAUAGAUGCAGGGAAGACAACCACUACUGAAAGAGUCCUGUACUACACUGGUAGAAACUACAAAAUCGGUGAGGUGCAUGAGGGAACAGCAACUAUGGACUGGAUGGAACAAGAACAAGAAAGAGGGAUCACUAUUACUUCUGCUGCAACAACCACCUUUUGGAACAAACACCGGAUUAACAUCAUCGAUACUCCUGGCCAUGUUGAUUUCACCCUGGAAGUGGAGCGGGCCCUCAGGGUUUUAGAUGGUGCAAUAUGUUUAUUUGACAGUGUUGCUGGUGUGGAGCCUCAGUCUGAAACUGUCUGGAGGCAGGCUGAUAAAUAUGGCGUUCCUAGGAUAUGUUUUGUGAAUAAGAUGGAUCGGCUAGGAGCAAAUUUCUUUAGAACUAGAGAUAUGAUUGUGUCGAACCUGGGUGCAAAACCACUGGUGCUUCAAAUCCCAAUUGGUGCAGAGGAUAUUUUUAAAGGAGUUGUGGAUCUCGUGAAGAUGCAGGCAGUGGUUUGGUCUGGGGAGGAAUUGGGUGCAAAGUUUUCAUAUGUCGAUAUCCCAGCUGAUCUUGUAGAUUUAGCUCAAGAGUACAGGGCUCAGAUGGUUGAAACUGUAGUUGAGCUGGAUGAUGAAGCUAUGGAGAACUACCUGGAAGGAAUCGAACCAGAUGAGACUACCAUUAAGAAGCUAAUAAGGAAAGGAACUAUCUCAGGCAGUUUCGUUCCUGUUUUAUGUGGCUCGGCCUUUAAGAACAAAGGUGUCCAGCCUCUACUGGAUGCUGUCGUAGAUUAUUUGCCCUCUCCUGUGGAUUUGCCACCAAUGAAGGGGACGGAUCCCGAGGAUCCAGAAUUGGUUCUUGAGAGGGCUGCCAGUGAUGAUGAACCAUUUUCUGGGUUAGCUUUCAAGAUCAUGAGUGAUCCUUUUGUGGGAUCUCUUACAUUUGUUCGGGUGUAUUCUGGGAAGCUUGAAUCCGGCUCCUAUGUGUUGAAUUCAAACAAAGGGAAGAAAGAGAGGAUUGGUAGACUCCUGGAAAUGCACGCUAACAGCAGAGAGGACACUAAAGUAGCCUUAACCGGAGAUAUUAUCGCACUCGCAGGUCUAAAAGAUACCAUUACAGGAGAAACGUUGUGUGAUCCGGAGAAGCCUGUUGUUUUAGAACGGAUGGAUUUUCCAGAUCCUGUGAUUAAGGUUGCAAUCGAGCCAAAAACUAAAGCUGAUAUUGAUAAGAUGGCAGUUGGCUUAAUCAAGCUUGCUCAGGAAGAUCCUUCUUUCCACUUCUCACGUGAUGAAGAAACCAAUCAAACAGUUAUCGAAGGAAUGGGAGAGUUGCAUCUUGAAAUUAUUGUUGACAGGCUGAAGAGGGAAUAUAAGGUUGAAGCCAAUGUUGGAGCACCCCAAGUCAAUUAUCGGGAAAGCAUUUCCAAGGUCACAGAAGUCAAGUAUGUGCACAAGAAGCAAUCUGGGGGUGCAGGUCAAUUUGCGGAUAUCACUGUCAGGUUUGAGCCACUAGAAGCAGGUAGCGGGUACGAGUUCAAGAGUGAGAUCAAGGGAGGUGCAGUGCCGAGAGAAUACAUACCAGGUGUCAUGAAGGGGUUGGAAGAAAGUAUGCCGAACGGAGUGCUGGCUGGCUACCCUGUGGUUGAUGUUCGUGCAGUAUUAGUCGAUGGGUCUUACCAUGAUGUUGAUUCAAGUGUUUUGGCAUUCCAAUUGGCUGCCAGAGGAGCAUUUAGGGAAGGAAUAAGGAAAGCUGGACCUCAGAUGCUCGAACCAAUCAUGAGGGUGGAAGUUGUCACACCUGAAGAGCAUUUGGGAGAUGUGAUUGGUGAUCUCAACUCAAGGAGAGGUCAGAUCAACAACUUUGGGGAUAAACCAGGUGGCUUGAAGGUGGUGGAUGCCCUGGUGCCUUUAGCUGAGAUGUUUCAGUAUGUAAGCACUCUUCGAGGAAUGACCAAAGGGCGUGCUUCCUACACUAUGCAGUUGGCCAAAUUUGAUGUUGUCCCUCAACAUAUUCAGAACCAGCUGGCCCAGAAGGAGGAGCCAGUUGCUGCUUAAUGCUAUUUCUGAGAUUGUAGGCCGCACCGGACUACAAUGGAAAAUAGGAUUCUUUAUGCAAGGAAUGAAUGCAAGAUUACUACUGUGACAACAUGAGGUUUCAGGUAAGGAGGACCUUGCUGCUGGUACAACCGAUCCAUCUCCAAAACCCGUUGGAGUUGAUGAUUGCAAGCAAGAUUAAAGAUCAACUAUUGUAGAAGAUUAUUGAAGAUACUUGCGCUGUUUCCUUACUACAACUUGUAUAUAGUUUUUAUUCCCUUGCCCCUAAUCUUGAUACUUCAUUUAUUCCACUUGAUUUUGGUAGCAUUGUAGAGAUCAUGGAUGGUUGGGGAUGGCUUGAGUAUAUGUUAGUGUGUUUGAUGUCUCAAAAAGUGAAACUGUUGCUUCUUGUUGUGGUGGUGGUGUUGAGAAAUUGGAAUAUUAUUCUGUUUUGAUGUUUUCCUUUUA